GACGCGGAGAAGGCGAGUCCGGGAGGAUAAAGAUAUUUUCGGGAAAAAAAAACGGAUAUGGGAGCAGCUCCUUUCUAAUAAAAUUAUUCCUCCCCUCUUUCUCUUCGCGUUCGAAGCCCUAACCCUAACCCUAAUUUCGUUAAUCAUCCCCCAAAUCAACCCUUCCCAUGGCCAGCGACGAGCCAUCGUCUCCUCCUUCAGCCGGCAAGCAUUGGAGGUCGGUGGACGACCAGGAACCAGAGGAGUCGUCGAAGCGCCGGAAGCACCACCACCACCGCCACCGCCACCACCACCGCCGCCGCCACGACCAUCACAGCAAGCACGGCGGGGAGAGGGACGAGGCGGAGAACGCCGCUCCCGUGGCGGAGGCGGAUGCGACAUCCUCUGCCGUUCCGAAGCCUGGUGAUGACGACCGGGAGGAGGGAGAGAUUCUUGAAGACGAAGAGGGAGGUGGAGAAAUCAACGGCAAGAAAAGCGUCGGCAUGGAGUUAGAAGGGGCUUCCGAUGUUGAAUCAGGCGAGAUCAAGGCGGAAGGUGCCGAUGCUGAUUCCAAACGGGUAGCUUCCAGGGAGAAAGAUGCGCUGUCAACCAAUAGUCUGAAGGUGCUUAAUUUUAAUCAGAAUACAUUGACAGAUGAAAGCAUGUCGGACAAAUCUCAGAAUUUUGAGAAGUUUAGUGGCAAGGACGAAGCUCAAGUGAAGGGAUAUAAUGCAAAUGGAGGGACACGUGCUUGGGAGUCUGGUACUAUAUCAGCAAGUGAUGGGGAGAAUGAAGCCAGACAAAAACAACCAAAGUCACCUUUGAAAGGAAACGAGAAGGAAAAGAAGCACAAGGGUAUUGUUACACAUGGUACAAAAGGUCGGUUGAGAUCACGAUCUCCUGUGUCUAGAGAAAGUUCGCAUAAGCACAGGAAAAGGGAUGACUAUGAUAUUGAAGAUUCUGAUCAUAACUUGGAGAGGCCGCAUAGGGAACCACGAGAUGCUGACAGUAAAGUAUUACAUAAGAAGGAUAGAUCCAUAUCACCCAAAAAUUUCCGGGAGAGAUACAAAGACACCAGACGAUCUCCAUCUUACAGCAGGCGCACUGGUGAAACCAAUCAUAGGGAUCGAUCAAGGUCCUGUGACCGUAUGAGGGAGAGAUCUAAUGAAAGGAGUUCAGAUUCUUAUGCAGAUGGUGGUGCUCAAUCUGGACCAUUUGAGUUGCAAGGUACUGGUAGGAAUGAGUUGGACAGAUAUGCAGCCAGAAGUCGAACAAGUGAAAGAGGGGUACACAGGGAAAGAGAGAGGAGUAGUAGUUAUAACAGACUUGAUGGAUGGGAGGACAGGCAUGGCACUCGGGAAAGAGAAAGGGAGAGAGAAAGGUACAGUAACAGACUUAGAGACAGAGAUAGCAUGGAAGUGGAUAAGGUUGCUCGUAGAGAAAGGGAGAGAAGCAGUAGCUAUAGCAGACAUGAUAGGCGGGAGGACAAGCUUCGAAGUCAGGAUGGAGACAGGGAAAGAGAAACAUACAGUAGUAGUAAAGGCAGAGAUAGGGAGAAGCUAAGAGAUAUGAGUAGGGAGAGGUAUAGAGAGAGGGAGAGGCUAAGGGAUGUUGAUGGUGAUCGUCAAAGGGACAGAGAUGGCGAAGAUAGGGGUAGGAAUCGGGCUAGAGAUGGGGACACGCAUAUGCAUAUAGAUAGAGAACAAAGUAGACUGAUGGAAAGGGAUAGGGUUAGUAGUCAGGACAGGCAUAGGGAUUAUAGGCAUUCAAGAUAUGUUGAAGUGGAACAUCGCAACGAGAAAACAAGAUCUAAAGAGUCUAGCAAGGAAAGUUGUUACAAUAGAAACAACCGUGAAGAAGAAAAAGUGGAAUCUAUCAGGGAGGAAGAUGAAGAGGACUAUCAAGAAAGAAUUGAACAACAGCUUGCAAAACAGGAUGAGGAAGAUGUUGAUAAAAUCAAGGAGGAAAGCAGAAAAAGGAGGCAAGCUAUCCUGGAAAAAUACAAGCAGCAGCAACUGCAACAACAUGUGGAAUCUUCAUCUAAUGAUAAUGAGAAAGAGGAAAAGGCAUCUAUUGAUAAGGACAAGCUGCAGGAGCUAAACUCUAUUAAAGCUGAUAAACAGGCUCACUAUGAGGAGCCUGAGAAUAGGCAUGAUACUUCAGAUAUUUAUGUUGCUGAUCUGUCGUUUUCUGUGGGCAAGUCACCUACGCAAAAUGGACGGUCAGUUAAUGAGAGAACAACUGGUGCUCGGGAGCUUGGGGAGGGCACUCCCAAGAGUGAAAGAUCAACAGAUAUGUUUUCUGAUGACAUCUUUGGAGAAUCACCUGCUGGAGUUCGUAAAUCGGGCAAAGGAGACGACCUGCAAAUUGAUAAAAGUGGUCUCCAUGACAACUGGGACGAUGCAGAGGGUUACUAUAGUUAUAGGUUUGGAGAAGUGCUUGAUGGUCAUUAUGAAGUUAUUGCAGCUCAUGGCAAGGGUGUUUUUUCAAGUGUUGUUCGUGCGAAGGAUCUUAAAGCUGGGAAAGGUGAUCCUGAAGAAGUAGCCAUAAAAAUCAUACGCAACAAUGAUACCAUGUAUAAGGCAGGUCUAGAGGAAUUGGUCAUACUGAAGAAAUUGGCAGGCGCGGAUCCUGAGGACAAGCGCCACUGUGUUAGGUUUCUUUCAAGUUUCAAGUAUCGGAAUCAUCUUUGUUUAGUUUUUGAAUCUCUUCAUAUGAAUCUGCGUGAGGUUCUAAAGAAAUUUGGUCGUAAUAUUGGGCUUAAAUUGACUGCUGUGAGGGCAUAUGCUAAACAGCUUUUUAUUGCGCUGAAGCAUCUAAGAAACUGUGGCGUUCUGCACUGUGAUAUAAAGCCAGAUAACAUGCUGGUAAAUGAGGCUAAAAAUGUGCUAAAGCUCUGUGAUUUUGGCAAUGCUAUGUUUGCUGGUAAGAAUGAAAUAACACCAUACUUGGUCAGCCGCUUCUAUCGUGCCCCAGAAAUAAUUCUUGGAUUGCCGUAUGAUCAUCCGAUGGAUAUGUGGUCAGUUGGUUGCUGUUUAUAUGAACUUUAUACAGGGAAAGUCCUUUUUCCUGGUCCAUCAAACAAUGAUAUGCUUCGACUGCACAUGGAGUUGAAAGGUCCUUUCCCAAAGAAGAUGCUCCGGAAGGGUGCUUUUGCUGAGCAGCAUUUUGAUCAGGAUUUAAAUUUUCAUGCAACAGAGGAGGAUCCUGUUACAAAGAAGCCUGUUAAGAGACUGCUUCUUAAUAUUAAGCCAAAGGACAUUGGUGCUCUCAUGUCAAGCUAUCCUGGAGAGGAUCCCAAAAUGUUAUCCAAUUUUAAAGAUCUUUUAGAAAGAAUAUUUGUAUUGGAUCCAGAAAAGAGGAUGACAGUAUCUCAAGCGUUGAGUCAUCCAUUUAUCACGGGCAAGUGAACUAAGAUGCUGAUUUUUCUGACUGCAAAUAUGAUGUUGAGCAUGCCUCUUCCUUGUGAUCUAACUUUCUAUUUAGUCAUCUAAUUCUUCGGCAUUUAUCUGUCUUUUCCCCGCUGCAUCGGAGCUUUAAGUUUGGAAUGCGUGGAUGAAGCUGGAAGAGAUGAUGGUUGAAAAAAACCGACCUUCCUGCAUGGCAAUUCUUAUCAGUGGGAUGUGUUCUGUUUCUUGGUUUCUGCCAGGCUAUGAGGGUAGCAACAAUGUUUUAGAUGCUAAAAGGCAACCAAAAGAAGACUUUGCAUAGGAGACUGGUGGAUGCAUGUCUGGUGCUAUGAAAAUUUUAAAUGGUGCAAUUGCUAUUUUUUUGGAGAUUCGGUAAGUUUCCUAUUUUUCCUUCUUAUUAAUUUUCAGGAUGCUUUGGGCAAUUUCAGUCAGAAUUUGGAGCUAAAGUAAAUUAGCAAUAUUCUUAGUGGCAUCUUAUUGAUAUAAUUUGUUUUGAUAUAUGGUGUAUAUGAAACAUGAACGUGGCUCAUUUGGAAAAAUGUACUAUAUAGAACAGUCAUGAUCAAUUCAUUUGUACCAGAUAAGUUCGCUUACUUUGGUUGAGGAUUCUUUUCUCCUUUUCUUUUUUUGCAUGCUACAUAUUUUCUAGCAAUACGGUGUGGUUUUAUAUCUUCUUUAUUUAUUUUGGAUUUUACCAAGUCAGCUUGUAUUAGUCUUUCAAUUGAACUGGAUAUUUAGAUAGAUGGAUUCAGUUGAAUCAUCUCAACCUUUUCUUUUGCCAACUCAUUUUAUCGUGAUUUUGUUAUGAUAAUUUUUGGUAACUUAGCAAUAACAUUAUUAUUUUUUGAUGAAUAAGGUGGGAGUGCCACCAUCCUUAGUAAAAUUUGGACCUCUUUGAAGAGGAGAGGUUGCUAUCCAGCUGAGAUAAGUGCAAUGGAUUUUAAGUUUAUUAGAUUGCUUUGACUUCAUAUGCUGCAUAUAUGGUAACCUCUUUACGUUGUCUGAUUUUUCGUGCUUUUUAUUCCCCUUUUUUUUGGUUUUUUUGGGGGUUGGGGAGGGCACAGUUGAAGAUGGUAAAAGUUUUACUUUGCUUUGCGAUUUGAUACAAAGCUGUGGUUGUUAUAGUUCAAUUUGUUGCUAUGGCUGCUUCCAGUGACAGUUUGUAACAUGUUUUAACAAAACUUUAAGCAUGGGCCAAUGUUGAGGUGUUUAGGUCAAUUUCAGCCUAACUUGGUGCUUGUCCUCAACAAUGCAAAAAAUAUUUAAAAUUUACUAGUCGCUGAAAAAGCUCGGUCCUAAAAUGUGCGCAGAUCAUGUUUGUGUUUAGCAUUCUACAAUUGUGAUUUUUCAAGACAGAGGAUCCUUUUAAAUAUAGAAUGAUAAAAGAUGCUGAAAAUCUUGUGUAGGUUAUGCAAUAACUUGUCAGAAUAGCUUGAUAUUUAAUCAAUUAAUACAUGAAAAGACAUUCUUCUGGGUUUAUUUUACAUUGCUUUCGGUACUAAUUUAGCAAGAGCCUUUCAAUUCUCUCUUCUGUUUGCUUCUUUCAUCUGAACAUAUCACUUGAUUGGAAAUUUUGGUCGGACCAGACCUAGACCUGAAUUUUGUUAAGAAACCUCACUGGAUCAAUUGAACUGUUCAGCCUGAAUCAUCUGGUAAAGCAUUGGACCAUAAAAUAGUGAUGAGAGAAGUGACCUUGCUACAUAUCUUCCUUCCUAACGCUUUUCGUUCCUUUUAUCCUUCAUGCUCAAUGGAGCAGUUGAUGAAACAUAGAUGGGGACAAAAGUCUCCAUCUAAACAUAGCCUUGACAGCAUGGAAUUCAACUUAGAUGCUAACCUGGGGGUGAAGACCUAGCUGCCUAUUAUGAAUAACUUUGAUCUUCCUCCUACCAGAUCAUACUAUAAACUACUGCCUCUAUGAGAGCUUGUUGUAGCCUCUCUUCAUGCUCCAUCGACUCCUCGUGGCAAAAAGAGAAAACUCUAACCCCUAACUCAGAAAACCUUAGGAUUUUCAUUCCCUCUUCUUAAGAACAAGCCUCUCUGUCUCUGUGGAAGCUUGAAGCUCCUUUCUGUUGCAGAUCACAUUGGGGGGGAUUGGAUGACAAUUAUCAUUGAUUGUCGCUAAGAGAUCAUAGAUGUUGGCUUUUGGUGACCUAUCUCAUGGAGGAGUUUCAAUGAGGGGAAAAUAGAUGUUAUUGGGAGGGGCAUCUGGUAGAGGAACAGGGACAAUAGUGUUUGACUCUUAAUUGACUUGUGGUUGGACCUUGACAAGUAACCUGAGCAGCAAUAUUGUGUUAGGCUGGGUCAGCAGGUUCAAAAUACUACCUAAAAUAAUAUUUCGAGUUUUGCAUUAAUAAGAUGGGUUCAUUUUUGGUUGACUUACUUCAAGGAAUAUUUUGCUUUGAGCUAAAUAAUGGUCAUCCAAUUGUACAGGACUACUAUGAAAAUCAAUAAAUUUGAUGGAUAUUUUUUUCGUUCCCAAUAAGGUAGGAAUUUUUAAACAUUCUAGAACAUGCUGAAACAUUCUUUUAAGUUUUAUAAUGUGCCUUCAGCCUUGUGAGCAUUACCAUGAUUGGCUUCUUUUUAAGGCUUCUUGAGUCCAUGCUCUACCAUAAUUCACCUUUUACAGAAUGUUUUAUGAAAAUGCUAAGGUGGUUAUAAUCUUUAAUAUAUCGUAAAUAAGUACAACUCCUUUUGCUGGAUGCCUGUUUUGAGAUCCACGUGUACUUUGUGAAUGCAGAAAUGUUAUCAGGGAUUCAGGGUCGUAUUGACCUCAUGAAAGCAGCCAAAAUUGAUAUUGGUGUUGGAUAUCAUUUUUUAGGUGCUAAUAUUUUUGCAUAAAUAGGUUGAUUACUAAGGGUUUGAUCAAGAUAGUGGUAAUGUUGUGGCAUUAGGGCAUGACAGUCCAGCUGAAAUGUGAUAUUAUAGUGGAUUAGAGAUGUUGUUAGAGUGAUAGAUAGAUGAUAAGUGAUGUACUUAAGAUGCAGUGCAAGUUAGAUCAGUGUCAGUUAAAAAUGUUAAUUUCAUGGAUGAUUGGACUACUAUUAUGUUGUUGUAGUGAUGAUGGUGGUGGUUAUUAUUUACAGAAUGUGCACUCUAUGAAUAUUAUACGUCAAUACCUGAUUUUGCCUCUAAAGUGCAAUAUAGCAUGAUGCUAGAGAUGCUUACUAUUUUCACUCAAUUAGACAAUAUACAGAAUCAUGUAAAACCUUCUUUUGCUUUCUGCGGCAUUCCUUACUAGUACAAAUGAACUUAUGUAGAAAUAGUCUUUAAUUUCUUCACAUUUUCAUUCAAUGGAAAAGUUGGAAUACUACAGUGAUGCAAACUUAUUUCUGUAGUGAUGAGUAUUAGUAAUGUCUUUUGGAGUGAAGAAUAUGUGCAAAUUAGUUGUUUUAAAUCCUCAUGAGUUUGAUACAUUAGCUUUAUUAUCAAGAACCACUGUUUUGCAAAUUUCCAUUGAAAAGUUUUGUUGUGACAUCGUUGCAUCAUAUAUUUUCCGUUACCUCAUAAAUUCACAAUUUGAGAAAAAUGUCAAAUUGUGUCUCAAUGAAGCUGAAAUUGUCACUGCUAAUGUGCAAUUGAAUCAUCUUGCCUGCAAUAUAUGAUGUAAUCUGGGAGAAGAAAUUUUUUUAACCCGCUCAACUCGAAUCUUGUAAAAGAAAAUUUUGAAAAUAGGAACAUUGGCGAAAGUAGGAUUUAGGUCCCUUUUAUUUCCUUAAUGAAUCAUAAAAUCAAGUUGCAAAGUUUUUAUUUAUACUAGUGAGGUCCAUUAUUGUAUAUUUCUGGUCGGGUUUCUCUUCUAGUUCAAAGAGGCUACAACUUUUCCAAGAUAGACAUGACUAUUAGAAGUAAUCAACAUAAAGCUAAAAUCCUAUAGGAAGUAAAUCUCAACUUCUACAUCAGCUUUAUUUUUGCUGCUUCGCUUAAUUUUUUCUGAACUAGGAGACAUGCCUGGUCAAAGUCUUUCUUGAAAAGAAUUUUUUUGCCUCGAUUGGUUCGUUUCAAGUCCAAAUUAUAGAAUUUGGUCUUGAUUGCUCAGUGCACCACACCCUUAGGGGUGGCACCACGUCAUAGGCCUCGAAAAGUUAUCCAUUUUGAAAAAAAGGAGCACCAUAAUUGGAUAUUGUAUGCGUAGAGAUUAGAGUCUUCGGAAGUCUGGCACAUGAUUCGGCUUUUUGAUUUGGUGAAUCUCGUUUUUGGAUCCUAUCCAUUCUUCCCCAUAGUAGCUUGAGUUCACUUCGAGUCUGGUGGUCUUCUUGGAUCAGGGUUCUUCUUGUUUGAGGGAUUUAACUUUUACUAAAUUAGAAUUGAAGAUAAGGAAACACAUGCUUCCCUAUCUCGCGACCGAACUACUUGGCUUUUCUAGGAAGCUACCUUUCUGGUUGAUCUGAAAAGACCAAUUCCUGCUAUGUCUGAUUUCUAUAAUCUUUUGCUCAAUGAUACAAUCCUCAUCUAAUGACCUUUCUUGCUCUACCCAUAGAUAGUCUACAGCUGGUAGCACUGACUCUCUUGGACUUUUCAUCUAACAUGGAAGGCUCAAACAACUUCAAAUUCUCAUCAUUGAUUAUUGAGUACAUCUCCAUAGAUGCCAGCAAAUCAAGCUGGAAGGUAUUCUUCCCUCUCUUCUUCAAAUUUUUGAAUGGACCAUUUCAAAUUGCCUUCAUUUUCCUCCUUCGCCUUUCAACCUUUCUUUCCUCGAGGAGAGUCAGACUAGCUCUCCCUCUUGGAAGUUGCACUUCAUGGCAAUGCUUGUCAUGCCGUUCAGUACUAUUAUUGUGAUCUUUGCAGCUGUGCCUUCAGCUCUUGAUGUAUAUUUAUGAUAUUCUCCACAAAUCUUUGAGUUCAUGCCUGAGUAUCUCUUCUCCAUGUUGUUCUUUGGUGCACAACCAACUAUGAACUACAUGACGGAGGGGCUCUGUGGUAGAUAUAUCUAGUUGACCUCAAAUAGUGACUCUUGUGUAGAACCAUGGAUAGCUCAAUCCUAUGUGAAUCGGAGGCAUGACAAGCUAUCAUCCUAAGUCUUCAUAUGCUUGAAAUUAUAACCUGGAAGGGGGUGCAUCGUAGUACAAUCCACAACUCCUGUCUGUCCAUCAUCUAUGGGUUGAAGUUAGUGCUUUGCUUCAAUUUGAUAUGAUAUGCUCCGCUUCAAUUUGGUAUCUCUAUCAUAUCCCGUAAAAUUCUUCAAAUAUUACUUGGAUAAUGACUGUCUUGUUCUAAAAUUAUGGAAGAAGGCAGUAGGAAGUUUUUUCAUACAUGCUGAAAGAACGUAAGUUGCCUCUCCUCUCGUCCCUAUUUUCUUGUAGGGAAUUAGGCACACCAUCUUGAUGAAUCGAUCAACCAUCACAAACAAGUAGUCGUGGCUGCAUCUCAUCCUUGGCAAUUUUCCUGAGAAUUUCAUUGAGACAACUCUCCAAAGGUCUGCUAGGUACUGGUAAUGGUUUAUACGAUCCUAGUUUAUCGAAGGGCUUCGAUGUGCCAUAUAGUACACAACCCUUGAUGAAGUGGGCUACAUCUUGUUGCAUCUUGGGCCAAUGGACAUACCUUUUCAAGUUCAUUAGUCUUCUCUGCUCCAAAGUGUAUUGCAACCUUUGAAGUGUAAGCCUUUUGAAUCAAAUGUACCUUAUGGGCAGCUCGAGGGAUAUAUAAACAUGUUUCCCCUAUAUAGCAGUCCAUUCUUCAGGUGAACUCUGUUAGCAAGCCUUUCUUCAAUUUCCUCAGUUGUUUUGAAAAUUUGGACUUGUUGGCAUAGAGGUUCUUAUACUUCAUAUGACCUUGUGGCUAAAUCUACUUUGCAACCAAUAGAUUGGAGAACAUUGUAGAUGGAGGCUUGGACAAUAGAUUAGCUAACUUGUUUAUAGCGUUUUUCCUAUAUUUGAUCAUUGGGCUGAAUUGCUGUAGAUAAAUCAUCCACUUCAUUUGACGAGCCUAUUGCAACUUGGACUAUGUACGGAGAAACUGAAGUGGCUUGUGAUUUGGGUGCACAAUUAUCUCUUUUGUUUUGCAAGUAUAAUCGUUGAUGCUUCACAGCUUGAUGUAGAUGACACGACUCUUUGUCAUAUGUUGGAUAAUAUGACAAUGACCCCUAGAGCAUUUGAGUGAUAUGGUACUUGAUUCCUAUCAUGUAGGAGGAUUUGCUCCCAUAUUGGCCACAACAUUGAAGGGUCUUUGCAAAUUGGGCAAUACUAGGAGUCUAGGACUGUUGUUUUGCAGAACUUCGGUAGAAGCUGAAAACUAUUUUUAUGUUUUUUUCAACCAUUAAAAUUUCUAUUUUGCUCAAGGUUUGCCGUCUCUGUACUGAAUCUUGCAUCGAUAACGUCUUGGCAUAGUGUUGGCACGCCCAGUAGAGUGGUUUGGCAUACUGAUACUCGAUACACUCCUCAUACCGUGUAUAGGUUUGAUAUCGCUAUGGUGGUUGGUACGUCCUCAGGAUGUUGCUGUCACUUUGCUAUUCCUUUGCUCGCCUACUUAGAAUGAUAUAGCAAUUUUGGCUGAUCGAAGGUUGUGGCUCACCAAAUGUACAAACUCAGUGGCAGCUGCAUGGAUAGGAAGGUGGCCAAGUUGUUGUUGGGCUUGAGCAAGUACGAGAGUUCCCAACAGUGAUGCGAUUCCUUGCUCCUGGAACACCACCACUGGUAGGAGGAAUUUUUCUUGAUUGCCAGGUAUGCGAAGGAUGGGUUGAAGCAAAUCAUGGGUAGGUCAUCAAGCUCCCUUAAUGUUGCUGGGCUGGUACUGAGAAAUAGGGGUUCUUUGGGGUCUGAUAUGAGCGAACUUGUGCCACUCCAUGAGUUUUUGAGGUCUGGCAAUAUGAUUGGCCUGCACUUGAGAUUUGCACACAUGAGGCUGAUUACUUUUCAGGUUGAUGCUUGGGCUCUCGCUGGAUUCCGUGGUAAAAUUUCUUUUCCUCGCACUCUAUCCCCCUCUGUUUCCUUUCUAUCUUUCUUCGCCAAAAUCUCUUCUUGGAGGAGGGUGCCGUCUCUAGUUUGGUCUAAUCUUUGGAAACCCUAUGUGAAAGAAUUAUUGGUAAAGAUAUUUAUGUGACAACAACGUGAUUUGGAGUCCAUUUGGCACCUUCUCUUUCGUGUCUAAAAGAGCUAGGUAAAGCUGUAAGGAUACAGGGCCAUUUUAGGGACAUUAUGACAUAACCGCACAAGCUCAAGUUUUGAGCCGAGCUGAGCCGAGAGUGUUCAGGCUUGGCUCUUUUCCUAGGUGAGCACAAGUUCAAACGAGUUCUUAGCGAGCCGCUCCCCAAGCUGCUUAUGUGCAGCUAGGUUUGUUCACACCCCUAGGUAUAGGACAGACUGAGUAAAACUCUGGAAUGGAAAUUAAAUAUGUCGAAUGAAGAGGGACGACAUAGAGAUGCAUUAUAGAUUACCAUUUAUAGCAGAAGAGAUUCUCAUCACAAGAAAUUAAACAAUAGGAGAGAAGGGGAAGGGUAUUUAGGGAACAAAAGUUGAUAGAUGAAAUCUUUUAGGUUAUAUUUAAAAAUUCAAAGCUCCUAUGUCUUCUUUAUAUGCGUUCACUAAUGGCUAGCAUCUUAGAAAUUUGAGAUGUCGUGUCGAAAGACAUAUUGGUUGUAUUUUAAUAAUAAUUAAGUCUUUCAUUAAUAUGCUGUUUUAUAAGUUAUGUGGGCUGUGGUUGCUGCCUUUAUUUUUCACUUAACAGAGGGUCAGUAAAGUGAGAGCAAUUCAUGCUGAAGGCUUAUGUUAUGAACCGCUUGGGGAUUUUCCCAUUGUUCUAGGUAUGGGUAAAUUUGUUCAUGGUGUGCAUGUGGACCCACCUUAGGUGGGCACGAACAUAGGUGUUUCAAGUCCUACAUAAGCUGUUGAAACAUAGUAGAGAAGCUGAUACAUCCAAGAGUUUGGGACGGUGGUGAGGGACAUCUAUUCUUUGUUGGGUCUUAUCUGCAUGCCAGACAACCCCAAACACUAAAGAUUUGGUUGCAAAUUUUGCAAAUUAGAUUUUCUUUCUUCCUUUGCUUGCAGCGAGAGAGUCUUAAGAGUACUCGAGCUUUUGAUUUGUGAAGCCCCUCUUCUCUUGCAAGAAGGGACUGGCUGCUUGUAGUAGGUAGAUUUGUAUGGUUUUAUUUUAUUAAAUGUCUGAAUUUCAGCUCCAUAGUCCAGCAGUUGAUUGUUCUUUGGUGCGAUUAAUGGUUUGCCUGGAGAUUUGUGCUCAGCAGAUGAUGCAAGUACAUUUUUGGCAAUCAUGAUGCCUCAUCUUCAAUAGUCUAUAUUUAUUUUUGGAUUUGCUGAGAACAUGCUUAAUAAUUCAUUUUCUAAGAUGUCUCUGGUUUUACACAUAUUUUGUACAUGAUGCAGUUAGAUAUGCUUUUAAUAACUUUAGGGCAAAACAAUGUGUUGGUGUACUCAAAGGGCACCCAGGCUGGGAGAGCUCUGACAGUUCCUGAAUGGUAAAAUUUCUUUCAAGGUUAUGAAGAAAUAGUGUUUUUGUGUCAUCCACCUCCAUGGAAUGCACGCAUGUCGUCGAGCAUGAACAAACAUAAAUCCUCUGUAUUAGAGCCAUGCUCAUUUCAACUUUAGCGCCAGGACACGGUAAAAUUAAGCUGGUUUUAUUCUUUCCCCAGUGUUGGUGGGUUUCCUCCUGUUUUGCUAGAAUGGAAUAUUUGCUUUCUUCAGGCCUAGUAUUGUUACAUUUAUUUGCGUUCUUUUAUUAACUAGGGAUUGUUUUAACUGCAGUCUCACCGCAGGUGUAUUAUGAAAUAAUGUUGUGUUUUUUUUUU